GGCAGUGUGACUUGGUGGUAAAGUCUCUGGGUUACUAAUCAGAGGGUCAGGGGUUCAAGCCCCAACACUGCCA